UAACAACUGGGUUGUCAUUAAAGAGGUACAGGAACCACCAGAAAAUGAAAGUUAUCAGAAAAACUAUCAUUGAAGUAGGGUGCCAAAGGAGAGUUAAGAAGAGGAUCGUUAGCGCUAUAAUUACGUAGUUCACGCGAAAGUAAGAGAGGUUGAUCUUUAUUCGUGCCUUGGCAUCGCCGAGGUUGAUCUUUAUUCGUGCCUUGGCAUCGCCGGCAGAGAUGGGGAGGCAGAAAGAGGAGAGGGAGAAUAGCUCUGGCCACGGGCGGCGCGUGUGUUUGGAAUGUGAGGAAAAGGUGGUUGGGUUGGAGGUGAUGGUGCCGUAAGUGGUGG
rnacentral:lncRNA from 1 species